rnacentral:rRNA from 1 species
AACAGGAUUAGAUACCCUGGUAGUCCACGCCGUAAACGAUGUCGACUAGCCGUUGGGUCCUUCGCGGACUUUGUGGCGCAGUUAACGCGAUAAGUCGACCGCCUGGGGAGUACGGCCGCAAGGUUAAAACUCAAAUGAAUUGACGGGGGCCCGCACAAGCGGUGGAGCAUGUGGUUUAAUUCGAUGCAACGCGAAGAACCUUACCUACCCUUGACAUCCUGCGAACCCUUCGGAGACGAAGGGGUGCCUUCGGGAACGCAGAGACAGGUGCUGCAUGGCUGUCGUCAGCUCGUGUUGUGAAAUGUUGGGUUAAGUCCCGUAACGAGCGCAACCCUUGUCCCUAUUUGCCAGCGAUUCGGUCGGGAACUCUAGGGAGACUGCCGGUGACAAACCGGAGGAAGGUGGGGACGACGUCAAGUCAUCAUGGCCCUUACGGGUAGGGCUACACACGUGCUACAAUGGUCAGUACAAAGGGUUGCGAACUUGCGAGAGUGAGCCAAUCCCAGAAAGCUGAUCUCAGUCCGGAUCGGAGUCUGCAACUCGACUCCGUGAAGUCGGAAUCGCUAGUAAUCGUGAAUCAGAAUGUCACGGUGAAUACGUUCCCGGGCCUUGUACACACCGCCCGUCACACCAUGGGAGUGGACUGCACCAGAAGUGGUUAGCCUAACCUUCGGGAGGGCGAUCACCACGGUGUGGUUCAUGACUGGGGUGAAGUCGUAACAAGGUAACC